rnacentral:rRNA from 1 species
AUAAAGAAAGUAAAAAAGGGCGCAUGGCGGAUGCCUUGGCUCUCGGAGGCGAUGAAGGACGUGAUAAGCUGCGAUAAGCUUUGGGGAGGUGCAAAUGACCUUUGAUCCAGAGAUUUCCGAAUGGGACAACCCAAUAUCUUGAAGAGGUAUUAUCCAACGUUGUUGGAGGCUAACGCAGGGAACUGAAACAUCUUAGUACCUGCAGGAAAAGAAAAUAAACAAUGAUUCCCCCAGUAGUGGCGAGCGAACGGGGAACAGCCCAAACCAUCCAUGUUACGGCAUGGGUGGGGUUGUAGGACUACGCCGUUGCAUGAAGACAUCAGAGAAGAACUUUCUGGAAAGAAAGACCAUAGAGCAUGACAGUUGCGUAUUCGAAUGUUGUCGAAGCAUAGUAGUAUCCUGAGUAGCGCGGAGCACGAGGAAUUCUGCGUGAAUCUGCCGGGACCAUCCGGUAAGGCUAAAUACUCCCGAGAGACCGAUAGCGAACCAGUACCGUGAGGGAAAGGUGAAAAGCACUUCGAACAGAAGAGUGAAAUAGUUCCUGAAACCGUGCGCCUACAAGCGGUCGGAGCUCGUUAAUGAGUGACGGCGUGCCUUUUGCAUAAUGAACCUACGAGUUGCCUUUGCCGGCAAGGUUAAGUGUGACGACACACGUAUCCGAAGCGAAAGCGAGUCUGAAGAGGGCGUAUAGUCGGCAGUGGCAGACGCGAAACCAAGUGAUCUACCCUUGGCCAGGUUGAAGGCUGGGUAACACCAGCUGGAGGACCGCACCAAUAAGCGUUGAAAAGCUUCUGGAUGAGCUGAGGGUAGGGGUGAAAGGCUAAUCAAACUUGGAGAUAGCUCGUACUCCCCGAAAUGCAUUUAGGUGCAGCCUUGCGGGUUACUGAUGUGAGGUAGAGCGACUGAUAAGAUGCGAGGGCUUCACCGCCUAUCAAGUCUUGACAAACUCCGAAUGCGCAUCAGUUCUACCGCAGGAGUGAGGGCAUGGGUGCUAAGGUCCGUGCCCGAGAGGAGAAGAAUCCGGACCACCUGCUAAGGUCCCGAAAUGACAGCUAAGUUAAACUAACGAAGUCUGACUGCUAAGACAGCUAGGAUGUUGGCUUGGAAGCAGCCAUUCAUUUAAAGAGUGCGUAACAGCUCACUAGUCGAGGAGUCGGGCGUGGAUAAUAAUCGGGUAUCAAGUUGUCUACCGAAGCAGUGGGAUCAUUAAUAUGAUCGGUAGGGGAGCAUUCCAGUCGGCGUCGAAGGCGUACCGUGAGGUAUUCUGGAGCGUCUGGAAAAGCAAAUGUAGGUAUAAGUAACGAUAAAGGGGGCGGGAAACCCCCUCGCCGAAAGACUAAGGUUUCCUGAUCAACGCUAAUCGGAUCAGGGUCAGUCGGGUCCUAAGGCUCAGCCGAACGGCGAUGCCGAUGGCAGAAACGGUUAAUAUUCCGUUACUACCUUCAGGAGUGACGUGGAGACGCAGUAGUGACAGUGCCGCCAUCUGACGGAAUAGAUGGUUGAAGGGUGUAGGAGUCGAUCAUGGCAGGCAAAUCCACCAUGAGAUCCGAACCUGACAGUAUGCCGCGUCCUUCGGGACAAGGCAAUAGUGCGCGUAAGCAUGCUGCCGAGAAAAUCCGCUAAACUUAAUCCUGCAGGUACCCGUACCGCAAACGGACACACGUAGUCGGGAUGAAUAUUCUAAGGCGCUUGAGUGAUUCACGGUUAAGGAACUAGGCAAACUGACCCUGUAACUUCGGGAUAAAGGGUCCCUACCCUUUUAUGGGAGGGCGCAGAGAAUCGGUCCAGGCAACUGUUUAACAAAAACACAGGGCUGUGCCAAAUCGAAAGAUCCAGUAUACAGCCUGACACCUGCCCGGUGCUGGAAGGUUAAGAGGAGAUGUCAUCGAUAAGAGAAGCGUUGAAUUGAAGCCCC